UGGGGAAUAUUGCACAAUGGGCGCAAGCCUGAUGCAGCCAUGCCGCGUGUAUGAAGAAGGCCUUCGGGUUGUAAAGUACUUUCAGCGGGGAGGAAGGGAGUAAAGUUAAUACCUUUGCUCAUUGACGUUACCCGCAGAAGAAGCACCGGCUAACUCCGUGCCAGCAGCCGCGGUAAUACGGAGGGUGCAAGCGUUAAUCGGAAUUACUGGGCGUAAAGCGCACGCAGGCGGUUUUUUAAGUCAGAUGUGAAAUCCCCGGGCUCAACCUGGGAACUGCAUCUGAUACUGGCAAGCUUGAGUCUCGUAGAGGGGGGUAGAAUUCCAGGUGUAGCGGUGAAAUGCGUAGAGAUCUGGAGGAAUACCGGUGGCGAAGGCGGCCCCCUGGACGAAGACUGACGCUCAGGUGCGAAAGCGUGGGGAGCAAACAGG
rnacentral:rRNA from 1 species